AAAAAGGCCGUCCCCAAGUCCCUUUCUGUGUUUCGCUCGCACGUCAAGUCCCUCAAAAAAACAAAAAAAGGCCGUCCCCAAGUCCCUUCAAGUCAGCUCGCACGUCAAGUCCCUCAAAAAAACAAAAAAAGGCCGUCCCCAAGUCCCUUCAGUCGCUCACUACGUCAAGUCCCUCAAAAAACAAAAAAGGCCGUCCCCAAGUCCCUUCGUCGCUCGCUGCGUCAAGUCCCUCAAAAAAACAAAAAAAGGCCGUCCCCCAAGUCCCUUCGUCAGCUCGCACGUCAAGUCCCUCAAAAAAACAAAAAGGCCGUCCCCAAUUCCCUUCGUCGCUCGCACGUCAAGUCCCUCAAAAAACAAAAAGGCCGUCCCCAAGUCCCUUCCGUCGCUCGCACGUCAAGUCCCUCAAAAAAACAAAAAGGCCGUCCCCAAGUCCCUUACGUCGCUCGCACGUCAAGUCCCUCAAAAAAACAAAAAGGCCGUCCCCAAGUCCCUUCGUCGCUCGCAGUCAAGUCCCUCAAAAAAACAAAAAAAGGCCGUCCCCAAGUCCCUUCAGUCGCUCGCACGUCAAGUCCCUCAAAAAAACAAAAAAAGGCCGUCCCCAAGUCCCUGUAAGUCGCUCGCACGUCAAGUCCCUCAAAAAAACAAAAAAAGGCCGUCCCCAAGUCCCUUCAGUCGCUCGCACGUCAAGUCCCUCAAAAAACAAAAAGGCCGUCCCCAAGUCCCGUCGUCGCUCGCACGUCAAGUCCCUCAAAAAAACAAAAAGGCCGUCCCCAAGUCCCUUCAGUCGCUCGCACGUCAAGUCCCUCAAAAAAACAAAAAGGCCGUCCCCAAGUCCCGUCAGUCGCUCGCACGUCAAGUCCCUCAAAAAAACAAAAAGGCCGUCCCCAAGUCCCUUCGUCCGCUCGCACGUCAAGUCCCUCAAAAAAACAAAAAAAGGCCGUCCCCCAAGUCCCUUCGUCAGCUCGUACGUCAAGUCCCUCAAAAAAACAAAAAGGCCGUCCCCAAGUCCCUUCAGUCGCUCGCACGUCAAGUCCCUCAAAAAAACAAAAAAAGGCCGUCCCCAAGUCCCUUCGUCGCUCGCACGUCAAGUCCCUCAAAAAAACAAAAAGGCCGUCCCCAAGUCCCUUCGUCAGCUCGCACGUCAAGUCCCUCAAAAAACAAAAAGGCCGUCCCCAAGUCCCUUCCGUCAGCUCGCACGUCAAGUCCCUCAAAAAAACAAAAAAAGGCCGUCCCCAAGUCCCUUCGUCGCUCUCACGUCAAGUCCCUCAAAAAACAAAAAGGCCGUCCCCAAGUCCCUUCAUCGCUCGCACGUCAAGUCCCUCAAAAAACAAAAAGGCCGUCCCCAAGUCCCGUCGUCGCUCGCACGUCAAGUCCCUCAAAAAACAAAAAGGCCGUCCCCAAGUCCCUUCGUCGCUCGCACGUCAAGUCCCUCAAAAAAACAAAAAAAGGCCGUCCCCAAGUCCCUUCGUCGCUCGUACGUCAAGUCCCUCAAAAAAACAAAAAAAGGCCGUCCCCAAGUCCCUUACGUCGCUCGCACGUCAAGUCCCUCAAAAAAACAAAAACGUCCCCAAGUCCCUUACUCGCUCGCACAUCAAGUCCCUCAAAAAAAAAAAAGGCCGUCCCCAAGUCCCUUCGUCGCUCGCACGUCAAGUCCCUCAAAAAAACAAAAAAAGGCCGUCCCCAAGUCCCUUAAAGUCACUCGCACGUCAAGUCCCUCAAAAAAACAAAAAAAGGCCGUCCCCAAGUCCCUUCUUCGCUCGCACGUCAAGUCCCUCUAAAAAACAAAAAGGCCGUCCCCAAGUCCCUUAGUCGCUCGCACGUCAAGUCCCUCAA
ensembl:lncRNA